rnacentral:rRNA from 1 species
GACGAACGCUGGCGGCGUGCUUAACACAUGCAAGUCGAACGGAGUGGCGAACGGGUGAGUAACACGUGGGUUAACUGCCCUGCACUUCGGGAUAAGCCUGGGAAACUGGGUCUAAUACCGGAUAGUGUGGGAUGGGCCCGCGGCCUAUCAGCUUGUGGGGGGGGUAAUGGCCUACCAGGGCGGCGACGGGUAGCCGGCAUGGGAGGGUGGACGGCGACAUUGGGACUGCGGCACGGACCAGACUGCAACGGGCGGCAGCAGUGGGGAGUAUGGCCGAAUAGGCGGAAGCCUGAGGCAGCGAUGCCGGGUGGGUGAUGACCGCCUGCUGGUUAUAAACAAGUACCUUCAUCAACGCGGUAGAUGGCGAAGAAGCCCCGGCUAACUACGUGCCAGCAGCCGCGGUAAUAC